rnacentral:rRNA from 1 species
GUGGGGAAUAUUGGUCAAUGGGGGAAACCCUGAACCAGCAACGCCGCGUGAAGGAAGAAGGCUUUCGGGUUGUAAACUUCUUUGACAGGGGACGAAAAAAAUGACGGUACCCUGAAAACAAGCCACGGCUAACUACGUGCCAGCAGCCGCGGUAAUACGUAGGUGGCGAGCGUUGUCCGGAUUUACUGGGUGUAAAGGGCAUGUAGGCGGGACGGUAAGUCAGAUGUGAAAUGUAGGGGCUCAACCCCUGAACUGCAUUUGAAACUAUCGUUCUUGAGUGAUGGAGAGGCAGGCGGAAUUCCGUGUGUAGCGGUGAAAUGCGUAGAUAUACGGAGGAACACCAGUGGCGAAGGCGGCCUGCUGGACAUUAACUGACGCUGAGGCGCGAAAGCGUGGGGAGCAAACAGGAUUAGAUACCCGAGUAGUCC